UACAGAGGGUGCGAGCGUUGUUCGGAAUCAUUGGGCGUAAAGGGCGUGUAGGCGGUCUGUUAAGUCAUGUGUGAAAUCCCUCGGCUCAACCGGGGAACGACGCAUGAAACUGGCAAGCUAGAGUACCAAAGAGGGGGGUGGAAUUCCCGGUGUAGCGGUGAAAUGCGUAGAGAUCAGCAGGAACACCCGUGGCGAAGGCGGCCCCCUGGGCCGUACCUGACGUUGAGGCGCGAAGGCUAGGGGAGCGAACGGG
rnacentral:rRNA from 1 species